rnacentral:snRNA from 1 species
GUGCUCGCUUCAACAGCACACAUACUAAAAUUGGAAUUACACAGAGAAGAUUAGCAUGAUCCUGCACAAGGAUGAAGAGUAGGUUUUACAUUUUUGU